GACGAACGCUGGCGGCGCGCCUAACACAUGCAAGUCGAACGGAGCAUUGAGAGCUUGCUUUUAAUGCUUAGUGGCGAACGGGUGAGUAACGCGUGAGUAACCUUCCCUGGAGUGGGGGACAACAGUUGGAAACGACUGCUAAUACCGCAUAAGCCCACGAUCCGGCAUCGGAUUGAGGGAAAAGGAUUUAUUCGCUUCAGGAUGGACUCGCGUCCAAUUAGCUAGUUGGUGAGGUAACGGCCCACCAAGGCGACGAUUGGUAGCCGGACUGAGAGGUUGAACGGCCACAUUGGGACUGAGACACGGCCCAGACUCCUACGGGAGGCAGCAGUGGGGGAUAUUGCACAAUGGGGGAAACCCUGAUGCAGCGACGCCGCGUGGAGGAAGAAGGUUUUCGGAUUGUAAACUCCUGUCGUUAGGGACGAUAAUGACGGUA
rnacentral:rRNA from 1 species